GGAAUGAUUAACGGAGGACUAUUAAAAGCAAAGACUGGACUCCUUAGCCAUCUUUGUGUUCAUAGGAUUGAUUAACGGAGGAAUUUUAAAAGCGAAGACUGGACUCCUUAGCCAUCUUGGUGUUCAUAGGAAUGAUUAACGGAGGACUAUUAAAAGCAAAGACUGGACUCCUUAGCCAUCUUUGUGUUCAUAGGAUUGAUUAACAGAGGAAUUUUAAAAGCGAAGACUGGACUCCUUAGCCAUCUUCGUGUUCAUAGUAAUGAUUAAUGGAGGAAUUUUAAAAGCGAAGACUGGACUCCUUAGCCAUCUUCGUGUUCAUAGUAAUGAUUAAUGGAGGAAUUUUAAAAGCGAAGACUGGACUCCUUAGCCAUCUUCGUGUUUAAAGGAUGUAGUUGAGGACUUAAAAGAUCGGUCUCCAUGGCCAUCUUUGUUUAGGUAGAAUAAAAAAUGGACUUGGACAUUUCUGAGAGCGAAGAUCGGACUCCACAGCCAUCUUCAUACUUAUUGGAAAGGAUAUUGUAUUAUUUUGUAAACAUGAGGAAUUUUAGCUGAGGACUAGAUGUAGUAAUAGUCAUCAAUUGAAUUGUUGAUCCAAGACAUACAUUUUUUGUCCCUUUUUUUUUUUUUUUUUACAAUGAUAUUGAAAGAUAACAUCAAAUAUCUAAACUAGAUAUUUUGUAUAGUAUUUUAUAAUAGCUAUACAUUUUUAAGUAAAGUAUUUGUUGUUUUUUUUCUAUUUCAAAUGCUGAGCAUACAUAACUAAACUGGAAGAACAGAUGAAGUCCAAAACGCUAAAGCAACAGACAUUCCAGACACUUGGCUUGUAUGUGCUGCUACUUGUGAUUAAGAACUGACUUCAAAUGAUAGCAAGAGGAUGAUUUAAGCAUACAUAAGUAAACUGGAAGAACAGAUGAAGUCCAAAAUGCUAAAGCAACAGACAUCCCAGACACUUGGCUUGUAUGUGCUGCUACUUGUGAUUAAGAACUGACUUCAAAUGAUAGCAAGAGGAUGAUUUAAGCAUACAUAACUAAACUGGAAGAACAGAUGAAGUCCAAAACGCUAAAGCAACAGACAUCUUAGACCAAGAUAAAGAACAUCCUGCUGAUUUACAGACACUUGGCUUGUAUGUGCUGCUACUUGUGAUUAAGAACUGACUUCAAAUGAUAGCAAGAGGAUGAUUUAAGCAUACAUAAGUAAACUGGAAGAACAGAUGAAGUCCAAAAUGCUAAAGCAACAGACAUCCCAGACACUUGGCUUGUAUGUGCUGCUACUUGUGAUUAAGAACUGACUUCAAAUGAUAGCAAGAGGAUGAUUUAAGCAUACAUAACUAAACUGGAAGAACAGAUGAAGUCCAAAACGCUAAAGCAACAGACAUC